rnacentral:rRNA from 1 species
GUAGGUGGCAAGCGUUGUCCGGGAAUUAUUGGGGCGUAAAGCGCGCGCAGGCGGUUCUUUAAGUCUGAUGUGAAAGCCCACGGGCUCAACCGUGGAGGGUCAUUGGAAACUGGAGAACUUGAGUACAGAAGAGGAAAGCGGAAUUCCACGUGUAGCGGUGAAAUGCGUAGAGAUGUGGAGGAACACCAGUGGCGAAGGCGGCAUUCUGGUCUGUAACUGACGCUGAGGCGCGAAAGCGUGGGGAGCAAACAGGAUUAGAUACCCUGGUAGUCCACGCCGUAAACGAUGAGUGCUAAGUGUUAGGGGGUUUCCGCCCCUUAGUGCUGCAGCUAACGCAUUAAGCACUCCGCCUGGGGAGUACGGCCGCAAAGGCUG